GUUGAAGUAGCAAAGCAGGUUAAUGCAAGAAUCCUAAGAUUUCUUUACCAGGGGUUCAAAUCCCUUCUUCAACU
rnacentral:tRNA from 1 species